GCAGCCAAGGCAAACACAAACGGAAGACAGAUAAUUUGCACACAAUGGCGCGCACGUGUGCUUGGUGUGCGCGCGCGUACGUGUGCGUGUGCGUGCACACGCAGCCUUUGUUUACAGCCCGCUGCUGGGGCUGGAAGUGAGCCCCCGCCCUUUUGGUUUGCAAUCGUUCAUCUUGUAGUUUUGUGGGCGUCUCGGUGCAAACAAGAAGGGAGCCUCACGUACACGAGCUGGGCAGGUGGUUAGGUGGGCGCUUCCAGGUGCACGGCUGCGACUCCGAUAAGAUCUUUCCCCCUGUGCUUUCUCUAAGCUUUAUGAGGUCAAAUAAUAAAGCGUAAAAAUACAGGGCUGAUUCCAGGAUCGGUCAGCCUCAGAGGCUUCAAAGUGUGUCUCCGGGACACUUCCCUCAGCCACCUGGGGCUGUUUGGGAACCACGAAGGAGGGAGAGGGCUGACAAAGUGAGCUGUCCCGCCUGGAGGAGAGGGGCUCAGCCCUGUGAUCCGGUUAACCUGUCCUCCCAAGGGUGUGGGGCCGUGGGGUUUGUACAAAUCAGGCUGAGCCAAGGCUGAAUUUUUGAAGGUGUGGAUGGGAGAAGCUGUUCCCCUGGUGUGUUUGGCGUCGUAUCUGUGGUAAGACACGUGGUGACAAAGGAAAUUAAAAACUUGAGAAGCAGCAGGGAGGAUGCGAGCGUGUUAUGCCUGCAUUUUUCUGAAGGCUUUUGCCUUUCUUUCUCCUGUUCCCAGGUCCUUUUGUAAAGGUCAGGUCAUCCUGAGCUAUCACACAGCAGCCUGGAGCAGAGGAGGAGGUGCUGCCUGGGUCUGAGUUGCUGUUUGGGUGCGCAUACAGCGAGGCUGGCUUUCAAGUCCGUGGUGAUCCGCUCCCAUCCUUCAAAGCUGCAUCGAUGGAGCUGACUUUGGAGAUGCCCCAGUGCUGGCUCAUUAACUUCUGCUGCUCAGGAGAUACCACCCAAACCACAAGUGGGCUGCUCAUCUCAGACACCCGACCUUCACGCUCCUCGCAGGGAUCCUGGUGCUUGUACGAGGACCAGGAGAGGGAUUUGCUGCCGGUGAAGGCCGUGGCAGGUGAGUGGCUUUUGCUCCUGCCAUGGACCUGCUGCCUGCUUGGUUUUUAGCAUUGCUCAGUGCAUCUUGUUCUGCAAUCACCGUGCUGUCUGUUCGGGCUGAA
rnacentral:lncRNA from 1 species